rnacentral:lncRNA from 1 species
CCUGGGUCAGGUGUCUGUCUUCGUCCAAUCAGAGCACUCCGCUAGCUCGGGCGUCGCACCAGACUGACACCCGCGGAAGGGCGGGCGAGGGCGCGCCUGAGGACGCCCCGGCUGUCUCCGAGCCCCGCGGCGGUCAGCAGAGCGGGGGCCUCCGGAGAGGGGGCGCCUGAGAGACUGGCCGCUUCCACGGCGGGAAGGACGCCGCGCCUAGCGGCCUUAGAUCACCGGCGGGCCCCGCGCGGUCCCGGGCUGCGCCGUGAGGAACCGUGGGGCCCCUGCCGGCCUGGACGGAGACGGGGACCUCGAGCUGGAGAAUGCAGGCAGCUUCUAGAAGCCGGGAGAGGCGGGGAGGGGUUCCCCUCGGCCUGCAGAGGCCUCGGCAACCGUGAGCUGGAAGCCUGUGUGCGAGGCCGCCCGCACUGUGGCCCCUCGACGGGACGCUAACAGCGCACUCUUCCCCGGGCCCUCGGGCUUCCUGGCCAGCGCUGGGCACGGGGGCUCUCCCUUCCCCACCACCUUGCAGUGGCCUCGCUCUCCCCGCCCCACCCCCUCCCUGCAGUGGCCUGGCUCUGUCCAAGGCCACCUGCCCCUUCGGCUGGGCUCUGCCGUGGCUCCCAUGAUGGCCACACGCCCCACCCAGUGUCCCCGCGGCAGGACAGGCCUCACCAGCAGGGAGCUCAGCAUGGGCAUCCCCAGGCCUGGGGUCCCCUUCUCAGACUCGAGUUCUUCUGUCAGGGGCUGGGCUUUCAGGGAUGCAGAAUCAACAGGUGCACCUGCCCAGGUUCCGUCACCCCAUCAGGGAACUGACCACAGGCCCUGGGAGAAACAGCCCGAGCGGCAGAAGGUGGAAGCCACCCAGGCACCCACCACGGACACAUCGGCAAGCUGGGCGUUGGUCCCCAUGCAAGAGGAGGGGCUGCCGCCGUGCCGGCGUGGAGGACCUGAAGACGUGUGGGUUCAUCCCCAGAGGAUGAGUCCUGUAGGACCCACUUCCAGGAGGGCUCAGCAGAGCCACGGACACGGGGCGGGGGGCGGGGGUGAGGAGGAGGCGGCGUCCAGCGGG